UACGGAGGGUGCGAGCGUUGUCCGGAAUCAUUGGGCGUAAAGGGUGCGUAGGCGGCCCUGUAAGUCAGUGCUGAAAUAUCCCAGCUUAACUGGGAGGGUGGCAUUGAUACUGCGGGGCUAGAGUACAGAUGAGGUAGGCGGAAUUGACGGUGUAGCGGUGAAAUGCUUAGAUAUCGUCAAGAACACCUAUAGCGAAGGCAGCUUACUAGGCUGUAACUGACGCUGAGGCACGAAAGUGUGGGGAUCAAACAGG
rnacentral:rRNA from 1 species